GGUCCUCUAUGGCGUGAGGAAUUCUACACUGUCACACUUGCACCACGUCAUCAAUAACAAGCCAAUCAUAUUUCUUCUUUUUAAACAAAAGUACAAUAAAAAUACUUUUUUACAAUCAUGAUGGGACAUAUAUUUUUAAAAGGAUUAAUUUGAUUGGUUUGUUACGCCACGUCACUAAUAUACCCGUUGCAUUCUAGAAUUUUUCCUGCAAAAUGGCCGGUUGAUUUUGCUGUCCGGGUGAAAAGAAAAUAGCCGGGCGGCUGUUCGAAUUCCUCAGUCCAGACUCCAGCCUGGUCGCGUGCGAUUCCAGGAGAUGCUGCCGUCUUCCUCCUCGUCCUUGUUGGCGAGCGCGAGCGCGAG
rnacentral:lncRNA from 1 species